rnacentral:rRNA from 1 species
UACGUAGGUGGCAAGCGUUGUCCGGAUUUACUGGGCGUAAAGAGCGCGCAGGCGGUCGUUCAAGUCGCGUGUGAAAGCCCCCGGCUCAACUGGGGAGGGUCACGCGAUACUGAUCGACUCGAAGGCAGGAGAGGGUAGUGGAAUUCCCGGUGUAGUGGUGAAAUGCGUAGAUAUCAGGAGGAACACCGGUGGCGAAGGCGGCUUCCUGGACCACAACUGACGCUGAGGCGCGAAAGCUAGGGGAGCAAACAGG